rnacentral:rRNA from 1 species
GAACGAAAGCGUGGGGAGCGAACAGGAUUAGAUACCCUGGUAGUCCACGCCGUAAACGGUGGGCGCUAGUUGUGGGGACCUUCCACGGUCUCUGCGACGCAGCUAACGCAUUAAGCGCCCCGCCUGGGGAGUACGAUCGCAAGAUUAAAACUCAAAGGAAUUGACGGGGCCCCGCACAAGCAGCGGAGCAUGCGGCUUAAUUCGACGCAACGCGAAGAACCUUACCAAGGCUUGACAUAUAGGGAAAAGCGGCAGAGAUGUCGUGUCCGCAAGGGCUCUAUACAGGUGGUGCAUGGUUGUCGUCAGCUCGUGUCGUGAGAUGUUGGGUUAAGUCCCGCAACGAGCGCAACCCUCGUUCUGUGUUGCCAGCAUUUAGUUGGGGACUUACAGGAGACUGCCGGGGUUAACUCGGAGGAAGGUGGGGAUGACGUCAAAUCAUCAUGCCCCUUAUGUCUUGGGCUGCACGCAUGCUACAAUGGCCGAUACAAAGGGCUGCAAUACCGCAAGGUGGAGCGAAUCCCAAAAAGUCGGUCUCAGUUCGGAUUGAGGUCUGCAACUCGACCUCAUGAAGUCGGAGUUGCUAGUAAUCGUAGAUCAGCAACGCUACGGUGAAUACGUUCCCGGGGCUUGUACACAUCGCCCGUCACGUCACGAAAGUCGGUAACACCCAAAGUCAGUGGCCCAACCGCAAGGAGG